rnacentral:rRNA from 1 species
UUUUACUCCUACGGGAGGCAGCAGUGGGGAAUAUUGCACAAUGGGGGAAACCCUGAUGCAGCCAUGCCGCGUGUGUGAAGAAGGCCUUCGGGUUGUAAAGCACUUUCAGCGAGGAGGAAAAGGCUGGUAAGCUUAAUAACUUGGCCAGUCUGUGACGUUACCCGCAGAAGAAGCACCGGCUAACUCCGUGCCAGCAGCCGCGGUAAUAAAACA